rnacentral:rRNA from 1 species
GUCCUAGCCCUAAACGAUGCUCACUUGGCGUGGCACGCACGCGCGUGCCGUGCCGAAGCUAACGCAUUAAGUGAGCCGCCUGGGGAGUACGGCCGCAAGGCUGAAACUCAAAGGAAUUGACGGGGGCCCGCACAAGCGGUGGAGCAUGUGGUUUAAUUCGACGCAACGCGAAGAACCUUACCUGGGCUCGAACGGUCGUGGACCGGGGUGGAAACAUCCCUUUCUCGCAAGGGACUGCGGCCGAGGUGCUGCAUGGCUGUCGU